rnacentral:rRNA from 1 species
GACGAACGCUGGCGGCGUGCUUAACACAUGCAAGUCGAACGGAAAGGCCCUGCUUUUGUGGGGUGCUCGAGUGGCGAACGGGUGAGUAACACGUGAGUAACCUGCCCUUGACUUUGGGAUAACUUCAGGAAACUGGGGCUAAUACCGGAUAGGAGCUCCUGCUGCAUGGUGGGGGUUGGAAAGUUUCGGCGGUUGGGGAUGGACUCGCGGCUUAUCAGCUUGUUGGUGGGGUAGUGGCUUACCAAGGCUUUGACGGGUAGCCGGCCUGAGAGGGUGACCGGCCACAUGGGGACUGAGAUACGGCCCAGACUCCUACGGGAGGCAGCAGUGGGGAAUAUUACACAAUGGGCGGAAGCCUGAUGCAGCAACGCCGCGUGCGGGAUGACGGCCUUCGGGUUGUAAACCGCUUUCGCCUGUGACGAAGCGUGAGUGACGGUAAUGGGUAAAGAAGCACCGGCUAACUACGUG